GACGGGGGCCCGCACAAGCGGUGGAGCAUGUGGUUUAAUUCGAUGAUACGCGAGGAACCUUACCUGGGCUCAAAUGUAUGUUGACGUAUUCUGAAAGGGAUACUUCUUCGGACAAUAUACAAGGUGCUGCAUGGUUGUCGUCAGCUCGUGCCGUGAGGUGUCGGGUUAAGUCCCAUAACGAGCGCAACCCCUAUCAUUAGUUGCCAUCAGGUCAAGCUGGGGACUCUAAUGAAACUGCCUACGCAAGUAGUGAGGAAGGUGGGGAUGACGUCAAAUCAGCACGGCCCUUACGUCCAGGGCUACACACGUGCUACAAUGGCCGGUACAAAGGGCAGCUACCUGGUGACAGGAUGCUAAUCUCAAAAGCCGGUCUCAGUUCGGAUCGGAGUCUGCAACCCGACUCCGUGAAGCUGGAAUCGCCAGUAAUCGCGCAUCAGCCAUGGCGCGGUGAAUACGUUCCCGGGCCUU
rnacentral:rRNA from 1 species